CAGCACAUUCCAGCAGAUGUGGAUAGCUAAGGCAGAGUAUGAUGAAUCUGGACCUUCAAUCGUUCACAGGAAAUGCUUCUAAAUACAGCACGUCGAGUAAGAGAUAAGUGAAGAAAUAUACAAACUUGCAUUUCCAGAGCAGCUCCCUGUCGAUUGGUUGCAUAUAAUAUGCUUCUCAUUUGUAUUUCCUUUUGAUUUAUUUUUGUUUCAAUCUCAAAUAUUUGGUCAUUGGUAUGAUUAAAAAAAAAGAAUGUCAAUUUACCAUUAAUAUUUUUAUGUAGAAGAG
rnacentral:misc_RNA from 1 species